GGGUUAUAUGAGAUAGGUUACAGGACUAUAACAUUAGGUGGGUAGAUAUAGGAGAGAGGGUUAUAUGAGAUAGGUUUCAGGACUAUAACAUUAGGUGGAUAGAUAUAGGAGAGAGGGUUAUACGAGAUAGGUUACAGGACUAUAACAUUAGGUGGAUAGAUAUAGGAGAGAGGGUUAUACGAGAUAGGUUACAGGACUAUAACAUUAGGUGGAUAGAUAUAGGAGAGAGGGUUAUAUGAGAUAGGUUACAGGACUAUAACAUUAGGUGGAUAGAUAUAGGAGAGAGGGUUAUAUGAGAUAGGUUACAGGACUAUAACAUUAGGUGGAUAGAUAUAGGAGAGAGGGUUAUAUGAGAUAGGUUACAGGACUAUAACAUUAGGUGGAUAGAUAUAGGAGAGAGGGUUAUACGAGAUAGGUUUCAGGGCUAUAACAUUAGGUGGAUAGAUAUAGGAGAGAG